UCCCCAGCCAGCACCCAAUUGGCCAUCACUGUCACCAGCUGAGUCCUCCUCCAUCUUGCCCUAGGCAGGGACUCUUCACACUUUCCCUUGCUUCAGGAUCUAGAACAUUCCUAAACACCCCUGCCUCCUGUGAGAAGAAUGACAAGACAGUGAUGAAGCAGAUCCGAAGAUGAAGACGAAGACGGGUCUCACGAAGUUGCUGAGGCUGACUUUGAACUUGGCAAUCAUAUUGUCAGCCUCCUGUCGGUCCGGCAUGAACAAUGAAAAACUGUCAAUUAGCACUUGGAUGUCUCUAGAAAGCUCAAAGCCACGUUGUGAUCCUUGCAGCAACAUAUGAUUCAGAACCUUAUGAUGUCUGUGGUGGAACAAUCUUGAUUCAACUCCAUUGUGUGGUCUGUAAUUACCUGCUUCAGCAGUAUAAGACAGUUUCUCCACACCCUCCCGGCCGUUGAUAUGGUUAAG